AGCGAACGCUGGCGGCAGGCCUAAUACAUGCAAGUCGAGCGCCCUUUCGGGGGAGCGGCGGACGGGUGAGUAACGCGUGGGAACGUGCCCUUUGCUACGGAACAACUGAGGGAAACUUCAGCUAAUACCGUAUGUGCCCUUCGGGGGAAAGAUUUAUCGGCAUUGGAGCGGCCCGCGUUGGAUUAGGUAGUUGGUGAGGUAAAGGCUCACCAAGCCUACGAUCCAUAGCUGGUCUGAGAGGAUGAUCAGCCACAC
rnacentral:rRNA from 1 species